CUCAGAGCCCUUCCUCCUAUAGGCUCCUCAAAGCUUUGCAGUCUACCCUACACUCACCAGCAUCUCACCUCAACGCAGACAACUCUUGCUUCCUAAGAAGAGUCUCCGCUUCCAGUGACAGCGCUGCUGCCCCUCCAGAGUGCCACUACACACCCCUGCCUUCUGCUUCCAGGGAACUCACCAGUCACCGAGGUGUCCUGGGUAAGUGUCGCUAUGUUUACUAUGGGAAGAACUCGGAGGGCAACAGGUUUAUCCGGGAUGACCAGCUCUGAAGGCAAGUUCUGUAUGCUUUAGCCCAUGUCAUGAGGAUUUGCCAGUCAGCGAUGGAAAACAGCCUUUGCUUAGAUGUAUCCAGCUAAGCUAAAGAGAAUUGCAUUUCUCUGUCUCCCUUGCAGCUAUGGAUGGCUAAUGAUCAAGUUCUGUCCAAUGACUUAUAGUAGACUAGAGGCCUGGUGCAUGAAAUUCAUGCACAAGAGAGAGGGGUCCCUCAGCCCCGGCCUGCACCCUCUCAA